rnacentral:rRNA from 1 species
AGGGUUUGAUUAUGGCUCAGGAUGAACGCUAGCUACAGGCUUAACACAUGCAAGUCGAGGGGCAGCAUGGUCUUAGCUUGCUAAGGCCGAUGGCGACCGGCGCACGGGUGAGUAACGCGUAUCCAACCUGCCUUACACUCUUGGACAGCCUUCUGAAAGGGAGAUUAAUACAAGAUGUUAUCAUGAGUAAGCAUUUUCGCAUGAUUAAAGGUUUACCGGUGUAAGAUGGGGAUGCGUUCCAUUAGAUAGUAGGCGGGGUAACGGCCCACCUAGUCUUCGAUGGAUAGGGGUUCUGAGAGGAAGGUCCCCCACAUUGGAACUGAGACACGGUCCAA